GUUGGUGUGGUUGUUGCUGGCCCUCUCGGGGGCAUGUGCACACCCAUCAUCCUCAUCUCUCCACCUGUGCACCUCUUGUAGACCUGGAUUGACUUUCCGAGGCAACUCGGUCGGGAAGAUUGCUGCGCUCUGUGAGCCAGCUUUCUUUGCAUGUCCAGGACUAUGUUUUUCAUAUACCCCUAUAGAAUGUAACAGAAUGUAUCAUUGGGCCUUGUGCCUAUAAACCUUAUACAACUUUCAGCAACGGAUCUCUUGGCUCUCGCAUCGAUGAAGAACGCAGCGAAAUGCGAUAAGUAAUGUGAAUUGCAGAAUUCAGUGAAUCAUCGAAUCUUUGAACGCACCUUGCGCUCCUUGGUAUUCCGAGGAGCAUGCCUGUUUGAGUGUCAUUAAAUUCUCAACCUUAUUAGCUUUUGUUGAUAAUGGAUUGGAUGUGGGGGUUUAUUUUGCUGGCUUCUUCACAGAGAUCAGCUCCCCUUAAAUGCAUUAGCUGGUGACCCGCGUGGACCAUCUAUUGGUGUGAUAAUUAUCUACGCCGUGGAUGUCUGCAAUCAUAUGGGUUUUGCACUGCUUCUAACCGUCUGUUCAUUCGGACAAUACAUGACAAUUUGACCUCAAAUCAGGUAGGACUACCCGCUGAACUUAAGCAUAUCAAUAAGCGGAGGAAAAGAAACUAACAAGGAUUCCCCUAGUAACUGCGAGUGAAGCGGGAAAAGCUCAAAUUUAAAAUCUGGCGGUCUCCGGCCGUCCGAG
rnacentral:rRNA from 3 species